rfam:Pristionchus pacificus strain PS312 contig11909, whole genome shotgun sequence.
GCCACUUUGGCUUAGUGGCAGAGCGUCGCUCUCGUAAAGCGAAGGUCGCAGGUUCGAUUCCUGCAAGUGGCA